CUACGGGUGGCUGCAGUUAGGAAUAAUCUACAAUGCACGCAAGUGUGAUAGUUUGAGCCAGAGUGCUUUUCAAUUUGAAAAGCUUUUGUGAAAUGUAAAAAGUUUUACGAAUAAGGACUGGGUAAGACUAGUGCCAGCCGCCGCGGUAAUACUAGCGGUCCAAGUCGCAGCCAUUUUUAUUGGGUCUAAAACAUCCGUAGCUUGCUUUGUAAGUCUUUUGUGAAAUUCUGUAUCUUAAAUAUGGAGCGUGCAAAAGAUACUGCAGAGCUAGAGACUGGAAGACGUAAGAAGUAUGUUCAAAGUAGCGGUAAAAUGUUUUAAUCUUGAACAGACUCACAAUAGCGAAGGCAUCUUACGAGGACAGUUCUGACAGUAAGGGAUGAAGGCUAGGGGCGCAAAACGGAUUAGAACCCGUGUAGUC
rnacentral:rRNA from 1 species